rnacentral:rRNA from 1 species
UACGGAGGGGGCUAGCGUUGUUCGGAAUUACUGGGCGUAAAGCGCGCGUAGGCGGCUUUGUAAGUUAGAGGUGAAAGCCCGGAGCUCAACUCCGGAAUUGCCUUUAAGACUGCAUCGCUAGAAUCAUGGAGAGGUGAGUGGAAUUCCGAGUGUAGAGGUGAAAUUCGUAGAUAUUCGGAAGAACACCAGUGGCGGAAGGCGACUCACUGGACAUGUAUUGACGCUGAGGUGCGAAAGCGUGGGGAGCAAACAGG